rnacentral:rRNA from 1 species
UGGGGAAUAUUGGACAAUGGGCGAAAGCCUGAUCCAGCCAUGCCGCGUGUGUGAAGAAGGCCCUCGGGUUGUAAAGCACUUUCAGUGGGGAAGAAAGCCUUGGGAUUAAUACUCCCGAGGAAGGACAUCACCCACAGAAGAAGCACCGGCUAACUCCGUGCCAGCAGCCGCGGUAAUACGGAGGGUGCGAGCGUUAAUCGGAAUUACUGGGCGUAAAGCGCGCGUAGGCGGUCUGAUAAGCCGGUUGUGAAAGCCCCGGGCUCAACCUGGGAACGGCAUCCGGAACUGUCAGGCUAGAGUGCAGGAGAGGAAGGUAGAAUUCCCGGUGUAGCGGUGAAAUGCGUAGAGAUCGGGAGGAAUACCAGUGGCGAAGGCGGCCUUCUGGCAUCAUACUGACACUGAGGUUCGAAAGCGUGGGUAGCAAACA